rnacentral:rRNA from 1 species
AAUGAACGUUGGCGGCGUGGAUUAGGCAUGCAAGUCGUACGGGCCGCAAGGCCAGUGGCGCAAGGGUGAGUAAGGCGACGGUAACCAACCCCGUGACUGGGUAUAGCCGCGGGAAACUGCGGGUAAUCCCCAGCGACGUCAUGUGAGGGCAUCCUCAUUUGACCAAAGCUCCGGCGUCGCGGGACGGGCCGUCGUGCUAUUAGCUGGUUGGCGGGGUAACGGCCCACCAAGGCGAUGAUGGCUACCGGGCGUGCGAGCGUGGCCCGGCACCCUGGGACUGAGCCACUUCCCAGACUCCUACGGGAGGCUGAAGUCGAGAAUCUUCGGCAAGGGGCGCAAGCCUGACCGAGCGACGCCGCGUGGAGGACGAAGGCCUUCGGGUUGUAAACUCCUGUCGAGGGAAAAGAAGGUCCGCAAGGGCUUGACUGAUCCCUGGAGGAAGCACGGGCUAAGUUCGUGCCAGCCGCCGCGGUAACAC